rnacentral:rRNA from 1 species
UUUCCUACGGGACGCAGCAGUGAGGAAUAUUGGUCAAUGGUCGGGAGACUGAACCAGCCAAGCCGCGUGAGGGAGGAAGGUACAGAGUAUCGUAAACCUCUUUUGUCAGGGAACAAAGGCGGGGACGUGUCCCCGGAUGAGUGUACCUGAAGAAAAAGCAUCGGCUAACUCCGUGCCAGCAGCCGCGGUAAUACGGAGGAUGCGAGCGUUAUCCGGAUUUAUUGGGUUUAAAGGGUGCGCAGGCGGCGUGUCAAGCAAGCGGUAAAAUAGCGGGGCUCAACCCCGUCGAGCCGUUUGAACUGUCG